rnacentral:lncRNA from 1 species
AGGCAUCCCAUAACCUCCAGAACAAUAAAGAAGUUAGCAUGAUGAUGUCUGAGAUCCUUAGAGACCUCAAACCAGCAGUGUAAUACAUAGAAGACAAUUACCUUUGAAGUGAGUCUUAUCUCAAGGAGCAGCUGCAGAAGCUUUUGAGAUUAGAUUCCAUGACAAUAAAAUGCUGCUGACAGGGAAACCACUGUGCUGGUUUAACGUGGUCUAAUACUGCGCUAUGGGUAAGGUGCAGUUUUCUCACUACCAAGAAGGAAAACUCCACAUUGAUUUGAAGCAAUGGAUUGAUGUUCCUAGUUUGGCCUGGGAAAUUCGACAAUACAACCAGUUGAUCAUGAUCACUGAAUCCCAGUCACACAUGAAUUUGCUAAAGAGAGACAACAUUUGUCCUUCACUGCAUGUUCUUCGUAUCUCAGCUUAGGUCUCUGUUACUGUAAAAACUGCCUGUACACUUUCUUUCUGCAAACUACCACGUCCUGCUGAAGAGGUCACAGAGACGAGACCGUGUUCUUUGUUACCAGCAUGUCGUGAGAUUGGAGUGAUUUUAUUGGCACCA